AGACAUGAGCAAGAAAAGCCUCUGGGAGCAGAAGGGAGGCUCCAAGACCUCAUCAACAAUUAAGACUCUUUGGCAGUUGCACUGGGUACUGGCUGAGUUCUGGAAAACAGGAAUGUGAGCAGAGUGCUGCAGAUCUCCUUGUCAGGAGCACCUAAGAACUGGCAUGACUCUACACCCUCUCUCCUUCUGCAAUGACCUCGUGUCAAGAUGGCAGACCUGCAGAGAUGAAUGUGCCUGGAUACCUGAGUCACCAGGUGGAGGAAACUCCCAUUGACAUGCAUCACACUCCACAUAUGAAACCCUUCUUUUUCUGCACU
rnacentral:lncRNA from 1 species